GACGAACGCUGGCGGCGUGCCUAAUACAUGCAAGUAGGGCGCAGUUGCGAACGGGGGAGUAAAGCGUAGGUAACUACCUAUAUGAGGGGGGUAACUAUUGGAAACGAUAGCUAAUACCGCAUACUAGUGAAUGGACCUUCGUUGUAUUAGUGCGUAGGUAGGGGAAUGGCCUAACUAGGCAACGAUACAUAGCUGACCUGAGAUGGUGAUCGGCCAGACGGGGACGGAGACACGGCCCAGACUCCUACGGGAGGCAUCAGUAGGGAAUCGUCGGCAAUGGGGGGAACCCUGACCGAGCAACGCCGCGUGAGUGAAGAAGGUUUGCGGAUUGUAAAGCUCUGUUGUUAAGGAAGCGGUACUUAACCAGAAAGGGACGGCUAAUUACGUGCCAGCGGCCGCGGAAAUAC
rnacentral:rRNA from 1 species